GUUCCUCUGCUUUCGGCUGAGUUUGCUGAUUCAACUGCAAUUCAGCUGGAUGUUGACCAAAGCAGUCAGAGGAAAAUUUCUUCCGCGUUCAGCACCAAGUGUGCCGUCGUCACACUUUCACCGGUGCCAUGCGUCCUGGCUUCGGUUCGGUGGGAGCAGACAAGGGCCAGCCUAGGAAGACAGUUUCGCCACCUACCUUGGAGCUUCAAGCUAUCAGAACCAAAGCACCCAUGAAGCAGAAACCAGCAGCCCAAAUUAAAACCGGAUGCAAAGGUGUCAGGUCUCCAC
rnacentral:lncRNA from 1 species